CCUACGGGAGGCAGCAGUGGGGAAUAUUGGGCAAUGGGCGCAAGCCUGACCCAGCAACGCCGCGUGAAGGAAGAAGGCUUUCGGGUUGUAAACUUCUUUUUAGGGGGAAGAGCAGAAGACGGUACCCCUUGAAUAAGCCACGGCUAACUACGUGCCAGCAGCCGCGGUAAUACGAAGGGGGCAAGCGUUAUCCGGAUUUACUGGGUGUAAAGGGAGCGUAGGCGGUGAUGCAAGUCAGAAGUGAAAGCCCGCAGCUCAACUGCGGGACUGCUUUUGAAACUGUAUGACUAGAUUGCAGGAGAGGUAAGUGGAAUGCCUGGUGUAGCGGUGAAAUGCGUAGAUAUUAGGAGGAACACCAGUGGCGAAGGCGGCUUACUGGACUGUAAAUGACGCUGAGGCUCGAAAGCGUGGGGAGCAAACAGGAUUAGAUACCCCAGUAGUC
rnacentral:rRNA from 1 species